rnacentral:rRNA from 1 species
AUGUCUUCCUCUUCCUCGUCCGUCUCGUUCCAGACUCCGAGGAAGGUGGUGAAGAAGGUGCUCUCGUUGUCCCAGUCCGAGGCGGACGGCGCCACCGUCCGCCGGAGCAUCGGCCGGCACGAGGUCCCGAACCUGGACCCGUUCCUCCUGCUGGACGAGUUCUCCGUCUCCAAGUCCGAGAUGGAAUGCUCUGCUUCUUCCAUCUCGUGCUCUGUUCCCUUCUGCCUGCACCAUGGGGCCUUCACCCACCAGGACUUCUCGGGGCGCAAGGGCACCAUCAGGACCGGAGAUGUGCAGUGGAUGACGGCUGGCCGCGGCAUCGUGCACUCGGAGAUGCCGGCAUCUGACGGCGUGCAGAAGGGCCUGCAGCUCUGGAUCAACCUCGCCUCCAAGGACAAGAUGAUCAAGCCGCGGUACCAGGAGCUCGAGAGCAAGGACAUCAGCCAGGCCGAGAAGGACGGUGUGAAGGUGCGGAUCAUCGCCGGGGAGGCCUUUGGGGUGCGGUCGCCGGUCUACACACGGACGCCAACCAUGUACAUGGACUUCACAAUGCAACCAGGGUCGCAACUCCACCAGCCAAUCCCCAAGGGCUGGAACGCUUUCGUGUACAUCAUCAAAGGGGAGGGUGUAUUUGGCAGGGAGGCCGCGGCGUCGGCGAGCGCCCACCAUUGCCUUGUGCUCGGCACUGGCGAUGGGCUCAGUGUGUGGAACCGGUCCGGUGCGCGGCUGCGGUUCAUGCUGGCGGCAGGUCAGCCCUUGAACGAGCUAGUGGUGCAGCAGGGGCCCUUCGUCAUGAACUCUCGUGCCCAGAUCCAGAAGGCCAUGGAGGACUAUUACUACGGCCGCAACGGCUUCGAGAAGGCCAGCCAGUGGAGCUCCACUUGA